rnacentral:rRNA from 1 species
GAUGUGGAUUAAUUCGAUGCAACGCGAAAACCUUACCUACCCUUGACAUGUCCGGAAUCCCGAAGAGAUUGGGAGUGCUCGCAAGAGAACCGGAACACAGGUGCUGCAUGGCUGUCGUCAGCUCGUGUCGUGAGAUGUUGGGUUAAGUCCCGCAACGAGCGCAACCCUUGCCAUUAGUUGCUACGAAAGGGCACUCUAAUGGGACUGCCGGUGACAAACCGGAGGAAGGUGGGGAUGACGUCAAGUCCUCAUGGCCCUUAUAGGUGGGGCUACACACGUCAUACAAUGGCCGGUACAGAGGGUAGCCAACCCGCGAGGGGGAGCCAAUCCCACAAAGCCGGUCGUAGUCCGGAUCGCAGUCUGCAACUCGACUGCGUGAAGUCGGAAUCGCUAGUAAUCGCGGAUCAGCAUGUCGCGGUGAAUACGUUCCCGGGUCUU